rnacentral:misc_RNA from 1 species
GUGAAUCAUCAAAUCUUUGAACGCAAAUUGCGCCUUUUUCGGAAGGCAUGUCUGUUUGAGGUCACCAUUUAACAAAUACUUUGCAGCGGUUUUUGCUGCACACGUUGACGGGCUUUCCAAGAAUUUUAAAUUUUGGUGGCGCAUAAUGAACAGCGUGAAAGUUUUUUUCAGUUCGAGUGUAGUAAAAUCUUUGCUUGGGUUGUGAAAAAACAUAAUCGCGCAAUGGUUUUGUCAAUUUCUUUUUAUCCCUUCCCCAAUGCCACUCUUUCUCACUGAAGAAUGUCUACUCCUCAUGUCCUU